rnacentral:tRNA from 1 species
GGGACUGUAGCUCAGUUGGUAGAGCAACGGACUGAAAAUCCGUGUGUCGGCGGUUCAAUCCCGCCCGGUCCCA